rnacentral:rRNA from 1 species
AUUGAACGCUGGCGGCAGGCCUAACACAUGCAAGUCGAACGAGUGGCGGACGGGUGAGUAAUGUCUGGGAAACUGCCUGAUGGAGGGGGAUAACUACUGGAAACGGUAGCUAAUACCGCAUACCAUCAGAUGUGCCCAGAUGGGAUUAGCUAGUUGGUGGGGUAACGGCUCACCAAGGCGACGAUCCCUAGCUGGUCUGAGAGGAUGACCAGCCCAACGGGGACUGAGACACGGUCCAGACCCCUACGGGAGGAAGGAGGGGGGAAUAUUGGACAAUGGGCGCAAGCCUGAUUGAGCCAUGCCGCGUGGUGGAAGAAGGCCUUCGGGUUGUAAAGUACUUUCAGCGGGGAGGCGUUACCCGCAGAAGAAGCACCGGCUAACUCCGUGCCAGCAGCCGCGGUAAUAC